rnacentral:tRNA from 2 species
GCCGAGAUGGCGGAAUUGGUAGACGCACCAGGUUCAGGUCCUGGCGGGGGCAACCCUGUGGAGGUUCGAGUCCUCUUCUCGGCACCA